AUCAUUUCAAUAUGACUUACAUGAGAAAGAAUGUAACUACAAUUAAUACACAUGGAUUAGAUUAACAAUCAUUAAUAAUGCAAUUAAUGUAUGAACUCUCUAAGCUAUCCUCCUCAAAUGCAAUUUUCUUCGGCCUCUCUAACAUAUUUGUCCUUGCCAUUAUUCUUCUUUCCCUCUAAAUGGUAGCAUGCUGCACCACAAUAUUCUGAUGGAUCAAUCGUUUCUCUUCUUGUGACAUCGACUAUCAAACUGGUGAUUUAGCAGCGGAAGUAGCUGAUUUCCUAACUCAUUUGUGAGGGUGGGAUUUUAACAAGUUAAACUUUUAAAGCAAUGGCUUCCUCGAUGGGUUCUUGAUUGCAUUGCAAGAAUAGAGCCCCCACAUGCAGUAAAAGAGAAGACAGAGUCGACAAACAUUUCAUCACGGAAUAAUGUGCCUAAUGUACGUGCCAACAAAGAAACAAGUUGAUGAUGUUCUCAUCAAGGGACCUCCAACAAAAAUUUUGACGAAUGCAUAAGCAAGUUGGUUAUGAUCAAUAACUAUGAUCCAAUGUUAUAUAAUCAUAACAAUAAUAUAAAUAUAUUCAGGACUUAGUUAGCCAUUGGAAGGGGAUAUUAACGCUUCUAUAAACAGAACCAUUCAAGUCAUUUGUAGACUAUGACCGUUUGAAUGAAUACGGCAGUUUGACU